rnacentral:rRNA from 1 species
GGGUUGUGAGGUUAAGCGACUAAGCGUACACGGUGGAUGCCCUGGCAGUCAGAGGCGAUGAAGGACGUGCUAAUCUGCGAUAAGCGUCGGUAAGGUGAUAUGAACCGUUAUAACCGGCGAUUUCCGAAUGGGGAAACCCAGUGUGUUUCGACACACUAUCAUUAACUGAAUCCAUAGGUUAAUGAGGCGAACCGGGGGAACUGAAACAUCUAAGUACCCCGAGGAAAAGAAAUCAACCGAGAUUCCCCCAGUAGCGGCGAGCGAACGGGGAGCAGCCCAGAGCCUGAAUCAGUAUGUGUGUUAGUGGAAGCGUCUGGAAAGGCGCGCGAUACAGGGUGACAGCCCCGUACACAAAAAUGCACAUAUUGUGAGCUCGAUGAGUAGGGCGGGACACGUGGUAUCCUGUCUGAAUAUGGGGGGACCAUCCUCCAAGGCUAAAUACUCCUGACUGACCGAUAGUGAACCAGUACCGUGAGGGAAAGGCGAAAAGAACCCCGGCGAGGGGAGUGAAAAAGAACCUGAAACCGUGUACGUACAAGCAGUGGGAGCACGCUUAGGCGUGUGACUGCGUACCUUUUGUAUAAUGGGUCAGCGACUUAUAUUCUGUAGCAAGGUUAACCGAAUAGGGGAGCCGAAGGGAAACCGAGUCUUAACUGGGCGUUAAGUUGCAGGGUAUAGACCCGAAACCCGGUGAUCUAGCCAUGGGCAGGUUGAAGGUUGGGUAACACUAACUGGAGGACCGAACCGACUAAUGUUGAAAAAUUAGCGGAUGACUUGUGGCUGGGGGUGAAAGGCCAAUCAAACCGGGAGAUAGCUGGUUCUCCCCGAAAGCUAUUUAGGUAGCGCCUCGUGAAUUCAUCUCCGGGGGUAGAGCACUGUUUCGGCAAGGGGGUCAUCCCGACUUACCAACCCGAUGCAAACUGCGAAUACCGGAGAAUGUUAUCACGGGAGACACACGGCGGGUGCUAACGUCCGUCGUGAAGAGGGAAACAACCCAGACCGCCAGCUAAGGUCCCAAAGUCAUGGUUAAGUGGGAAACGAUGUGGGAAGGCCCAGACAGCCAGGAUGUUGGCUUAGAAGCAGCCAUCAUUUAAAGAAAGCGUAAUAGCUCACUGGUCGAGUCGGCCUGCGCGGAAGAUGUAACGGGGCUAAACCAUGCACCGAAGCUGCGGCAGCGACGCUGAUGCGUUGUUGGGUAGGGGAGCGUUCUGUAAGCCUGCGAAGGUGUGCUGUGAGGCAUGCUGGAGGUAUCAGAAGUGCGAAUGCUGACAUAAGUAACGAUAAAGCGGGUGAAAAGCCCGCUCGCCGGAAGACCAAGGGUUCCUGUCCAACGUUAAUCGGGGCAGGGUGAGUCGACCCCUAAGGCGAGGCCGAAAGGCGUAGUCGAUGGGAAACAGGUUAAUAUUCCUGUACUUGGUGUUACUGCGAAGGGGGGACGGAGAAGGCUAUGUUGGCCGGGCGACGGUUGUCCCGGUUUAAGCGUGUAGGCUGGUUUUCCAGGCAAAUCCGGAAAAUCAAGGCUGAGGCGUGAUGACGAGGCACUACGGUGCUGAAGCAACAAAUGCCCUGCUUCCAGGAAAAGCCUCUAAGCAUCAGGUAACAUCAAAUCGUACCCCAAACCGACACAGGUGGUCAGGUAGAGAAUACCAAGGCGCUUGAGAGAACUCGGGUGAAGGAACUAGGCAAAAUGGUGCCGUAACUUCGGGAGAAGGCACGCUGAUAUGUAGGUGAAGUCCCUCGCGGAUGGAGCUGAAAUCAGUCGAAGAUACCAGCUGGCUGCAACUGUUUAUUAAAAACACAGCACUGUGCAAACACGAAAGUGGACGUAUACGGUGUGACGCCUGCCCGGUGCCGGAAGGUUAAUUGAUGGGGUCAGCGCAAGCGAAGCUCUUGAUCGAAGCCCCGGUAAACGGCGGCCGUAACUAUAACGGUCCUAAGGUAGCGAAAUUCCUUGUCGGGUAAGUUCCGACCUGCACGAAUGGCGUAAUGAUGGCCAGGCUGUCUCCACCCGAGACUCAGUGAAAUUGAACUCGCUGUGAAGAUGCAGUGUACCCGCGGCAAGACGGAAAGACCCCGUGAACCUUUACUAUAGCUUGACACUGAACAUUGAGCCUUGAUGUGUAGGAUAGGUGGGAGGCUUUGAAGUGUGGACGCCAGUCUGCAUGGAGCCGACCUUGAAAUACCACCCUUUAAUGUUUGAUGUUCUAACGUUGACCCGUAAUCCGGGUUGCGGACAGUGUCUGGUGGGUAGUUUGACUGGGGCGGUCUCCUCCUAAAGAGUAACGGAGGAGCACGAAGGUUGGCUAAUCCUGGUCGGACAUCAGGAGGUUAGUGCAAUGGCAUAAGCCAGCUUGACUGCGAGCGUGACGGCGCGAGCAGGUGCGAAAGCAGGUCAUAGUGAUCCGGUGGUUCUGAAUGGAAGGGCCAUCGCUCAACGGAUAAAAGGUACUCCGGGGAUAACAGGCUGAUACCGCCCAAGAGUUCAUAUCGACGGCGGUGUUUGGCACCUCGAUGUCGGCUCAUCACAUCCUGGGGCUGAAGUAGGUCCCAAGGGUAUGGCUGUUCGCCAUUUAAAGUGGUACGCGAGCUGGGUUUAGAACGUCGUGAGACAGUUCGGUCCCUAUCUGCCGUGGGCGCUGGAGAACUGAGGGGGGCUGCUCCUAGUACGAGAGGACCGGAGUGGACGCAUCACUGGUGUUCGGGUUGUCAUGCCAAUGGCACUGCCCGGUAGCUAAAUGCGGAAGAGAUAAGUGCUGAAAGCAUCUAAGCACGAAACUUGCCCCGAGAUGAGUUCUCCCUGACUCCUUGAGAGUCCUGAAGGAACGUUGAAGACGACGACGUUGAUAGGCCGGGUGUGUAAGCGCAGCGAUGCGUUGAGCUAACCGGUACUAAUGAACCGUGAGGCUUAACCUUACAACGCCGAAGGUGUUU